CCAAGUUGGAUACGCAACCGACUGAGCCACCCGGGCGCCCCGUCCCUUCCUCUUUUCCACCCUAUGGUCCUCCUGCUUGAGCUCUCUCCACCGUCCCCUCUCACCCCACCCGUAAUGGCUUACCUCCCCAGGCUGUCAUCUCUCCGAUUUCAUGCCAUCUGUCACCCAAGCAGGUGCCUCUGUGAGGACUGUGUGUCCUGGGGUUAGCACGAUGCUGGUAUUCAGGACACAGAACAUGGAGCCACGUGGCUGCAUCCUCACAGGCUGUUCGCUGGGUGUCACAAGACCGAGGAGGUAAAAUAAACCUUUCACACCCCAAAUGUGACUGAAACCGGUAAGCAAACAAGACCAUGGUUUACAACGCCAGGCUUUCUUGGGUACGAUUAUCAGGUCUCUGGAGAGGAUGGGAGCCAGCCUGCCUGAGGGAUGGGCGAGAAUUGUGCCAACCUAAGUCUGGCUUGGAUGGUCAGAGCUGCACUGGUGUCCUUUGAGCUCAUUUCCUCCCCUCACCCGUGCACAAAGUUUUGGGGACCCUACAGACCUCUCUCUUGUCCUACAGGCUAUAGAAACACCGGGCUGCAGCAAAAUAAUCCUAGUUUGCAUCUAUCCUCCGAGGGUGAAGAACAAUCAGCAUGUAGUGAAUGUGAUGGUGAUGGGCCACCUGCGUAAUGGCCUGUCACAGUCGGACACGGGAGAGUGGAGAGUUCUGGGGACCCCAGAUCCCCAUUAGAGAUUGCCAUCUGGUAGUUUCGUUAAGUAUAGCACAUCCCUUGUGUCAGCAUUUAUAAGCUCACGGCCUCGUUGUGCACACUCAAUCUGGCACAAGAAGGAAUCCUUUGAUAAAGGAGGGGUGAUCAUCACAGGACGGACAAAGGAGGGCUGCGGAAUCAGAGUUUAGGGGCCCAGGGUGGCCCUGGCCAACUGAUAGGGCACUUGCCCUUGGUGGAAUGAAGUCAUCGGGUUAUUAUUGUUCCGUAACCAACUUCCUGCCUAUUUUUGGCUACCCACACAGAUAGCCACUGCACUAACCAGGUUAACCUGGUUUGACGUUUAUCAUCAUAUACAAGAGCCAACUGUCGUCCCGGCACAUCCACCUCAGUCCAUCGUGAGUUAGGUCUCCGUGUGAGUCUCAGCCUGGUAGUGACCCUCUGGGUACACGGACUGCAUCAGGUUCAUUCACUCCCUGAGUCCGGAUCACCUCAUGGACUGGGCAGCACAAGCUUCCAAACCACUCCUCUCCGACCUCUCCUGCUGCCUCCUCCUCAAACACGGGCGGCAUUACGGGACUAUCUCGUUCAGGAAUGCUUUACGUGUACCAAGCCAAACUCCUUGGCCGGGCUUUCCCGGUCUUUCGUAAUUUGGCCUCAUCAUGCUUUGUUUUUCAUGACAGCCCAAAAUGUUCUCUGUUGGUCUCCCAGGUUACUCAGCGUGGCUCUCCCACCGAUGGCUCCUGCCCAUUCUCCUCUGCCCGCAAGUCCUGCCGCUACACCUCUUCCGAACGCGGCUCCGGCCCUUUAGCCCAUCCCGUCCUCUCCAGCCGUCCCCAAAUCACCGGAGAGGACGGGAGACAAGGUCCUUGAAAUAAAGGCUUCCUGACUCUCCCGCAGCCAACUCCUGGUCCCACACAGGAAAGCAACUUCUUGCCGUACUCUCGUAUUGUCCUAGAUGUGGCUCACCUCUCUUCCAUACCCCUUUGGGCUCCUAAGGAAAGAAAGCCCCACUGGGAUGGGGGGGGGGCAGGCCACCCGAGUCUCCCUGGGCACCCCGCAGCAGGGCUGGUGGCAACCAAGCGCCGAGUCUCGCCGCCUGCCAUGGGCUUCUCCCAAUUCGCUUCUCCCUCGAACAGGGCCACCUCUGACUCUCAAGACCUCAGCAGAGAGCGGGGGGUGGGUGAAACCCAAAGAAGACUGGUGUCUCGAGGAAAACCUCGAGAAAGAAGAGACCAGACACUGAGCAGGGAUGUGUGUGAAAUACUGGUUUUUAUUGGUUGGCACAAGAUUACAACCUACAAUUCCAAUGCCCUUCCCUCCCACACAGCUCAAAUGGAAGGAAACUGAUUGACACA